ACUUCAUUACUCACACCUGCUCCUCAUCAUUACACACACCUGGCAGCCUUCAUUACUCACACCUGCUCCUCAUCAUUACACACACCUGGCAACCUUCACUAUUCACACCUGCUCCUCAUCAUUUCUCACACCUGGCAACCUUCAUUACUCACACCUGCUCCUCAUCAUCAGACACACCUGGCAACCUUCAUUAUUCACACCUGCUCCUCAUCAUCAGACACACCUGGCAACCUUCAUUAUUCACACCUGCUCCUCAUCAUCAGACACACCUGGCAACCUUCACUAUUCACACCUGCUCCUCAUCAUCAGACACACCUGGCAACCUUCAUUAUUCACACCUGCUCCUCAUCAUCAGACACACCUGGCAACCUUCAUUACUCACACCUGCUCCUCAUCAUCAGACACACCUGGCAACCUUCAUUACUCACCUGUUCCUCAUCAUCAGACACACCUGGCAACCUUCAUUACUCACCUGCUCCUCAUCAUUACACACACCUGGCAACCUUCUUUACUCACCUGUUCCUCAUCAUUACACACACCUGGCAACCUUCAUUACUCACCUGCUCCUCAUCAUUACACACACAUGGCAACCUUCAUUACUCACCUGUUCCUCAUCAUUACACACACCUGGCAACCUUCAUUACUCACCUGUUCCUCAUCAUCAGACACACCUGGCAACCUUCAUUACUCACCUGUUCCUCAUCAUCAGACACACCUGGUUAUGUUUCUAUGUUAGACUGUUGUUAUCUCCCAUCAGUCAGUACUGGUUAUGUUUCUAUGUUAGACUGUUGUUAUCUCCCAUCAGUCAGUACUGGUUAUGUUUCUAUGUUAGACUGUUGUUACCUCCCAUCAGUCAGUACUGGUUAUGUUUCUAUGUUAGACUGUUGUUAUCUCCCAUCAGUCAGUACUGGUUAUGUUUCUAUGUUAGACUGUUGUUAUCUCCCAUCAGCCAGUACUGGUUAUGUUUCUAUGUUAGACUGUUGUUAUCUCCCAUCAGUCAGUACUGGUUAUGUUUCUAUGUUAGACUGUUGUUAUCUCCCAUCAGUCAGUACUGGUUAUGUUUCUAAUUUAGACACUUCUCUUGUUUUGUAUCGUUCCAUGUUCUUCAUCAUUAAACUCACUAACUGCACUUGCUUCCUGACUCCCUGCAUCUGUGUUACACUUUAUGAUCAGACACUAAUCAUUCUGUUGUUACUACUGUAUGAUACUGAGAGAACAGGACACUAA
rnacentral:lncRNA from 1 species